CUGGUCUCAGCACAACAUGAUGCCUUCCUUGCUUUAAAAACAAAAGGCAGGGAAAUGUAGCCGCCCCUGACACAGGAAGGGUUAAUAAUCACUGGAAAAAGCUUGCCAACAAACUGUGACCCGGAGGUGAGAAGGCCAGUUAGCCAAUGACGGGUAAGACCCCCUGGGGGGCAACCUAAGCCAGGCGGCGGCCGCCCGGGGGCACAGAUGGAGAAACGAUAUCGAUAUCGGGAGCAAGAGGGACCGUUGCCUAAGAGACCUUGCCUGCUCUGAGAUAAAAAUAUAGGAGCACAGCAACAACAUGAUAAUAUCAAAACAGAGGCCAAGAGAGGGCUCCUUGAGAAAUCACUAAGAAUUCUUGGCAUUCGCUAAUUACUUCAUCCAGAACACCUGUGUAUGUUUAACAGAUGUAAGCUAUGUAUAUAUUGAAACGCUGGUUAUAAUAAACUCAGAGUGGCCAUCAGCCCUCUCCGCAUCUAUCCUGAUGUGUACAUUGGAUUGUGACACCGACAGGUACAGAUGGCAAGAAUGAAGGGAACAUUAGCCAGUUCUGCCCUAGUUCAAUAAAAUUAUUAAGCACGUAUCCCCCAAUCAGAGGAAAGUGAAUGAUGUGUUUUAAAAAAAAGUGCCAGCAGCAGAAUUACUCUAAGACUGAAAGGCUCCCAGCACAACUUGGAAGUUUCUGUUACUGAUUUCAAAUGAGAAUUAUUGUUAAUAGGAAUAAAGUUAUUAUCGGCAUGAAUCACAGACACAGAAACCUGUUAACUUAAUAAUGUGGCAAACGUACUAUUAAUCUUUAGUGAAGCAAUAUUAAUAUAUUGCCUAAUCUAAGAAAAGGCUCCAGUGUCUUGAAAGCUUGAAAUCAUUUCUGCUUCUGCCUCAAGUUCUGAAAUCAUCCCCUUUUAAAAUUUUAAAUACUUUUAUUUCACAUAAGCCUCUGAGUAUUCAGAAAUAAUUGCUGUCAAUAGAGAUUCAUUUUCACCUUUGAAUGGCCAGUAAUGUCAAAUGGCAACGUCAUUGGCCUUCAUAUCAACAUAUUUUAAAUGUAUGUCUUGGAACUGAAGGUCAAUAAUGGCUACUAAAUUUAAAAUAUGGAAUUCUAUGAUGUUUUAUUCUUGGUACUUUGAUUGCCUUUAUACUGGUGAUUAUUUCAUCUGAAGGCAAAAAUCGAAUUCCAGCCUAUCUCAAUGGAAGUUCCUUUGCCUCCCUUGAGUACAUUUGAACCAUUUUCUUUGAAGUUUCUAGCACAACACUAGUAUAUAUAAUUUUGGAAACUAUACAGUCUGUAUCAGGGAUUUUUAACCCAGCUGCAAGACAGGCAUUGUGGGUAAUAGCAAAGUAUGGGAGUUGAUAUGAGUCCUAAAUUGGGAUGGCUGCUCUGUCAUAUAUUAGGAGGGUGACAUCGAACAAGUUGCAAGUUACUUAAUGUCUCUGAGCCUCGGAUUAAGGUUAACAGUAUCAGACAUAUAGGCUUGCUGUGGGGAUUAAAUUAGAUACUGUGAAGUCAUCUUUUAGAAGCUGUAACACGUAUAGGUGAUCAAUAAGUAUUAGUUUUUGUUCUUUGCAAUAAACUGGGCAUCUAGAUUUGGUGAGAUGCUUAAAAAUUAGUUUAUCAAAAUUUAUUGUAAUUUAUAUCAAAUUUAAAAAUACAUGACGGUUUGCAGCGAAGGAUCCAAUUUAGCCAAAAGAAAUGCCAGAUGUCACUGCAUUAUGAAGAUAAAAAAUCAGUAAUUUGUGCUAUGUGCACACAAGGUUCAAGGCUAGCUAUAGACCACUUAGUAAUUUUAUACUCAUUAUUAAUUUCUCCGUUCUAAGAUGCUUUUAUGAUAUAAAUGAUCAUUAUAUGGGUAAUAUUUUUGUGCUUUUGUGCCAGCUAUUGCUAUUGUGGAGUCGAGGGGGAGGUUGAACCUGCUAAGUCAGUCUAGCUUUCAUAUAUUGUUUAGAAGAAGGGUUGGCAAACUUUUCUAUAAAGAGCCAGGUAGUAAAUAUUUCCAAAUAUGGAUUCUAUUGGAACUACACAACUCGGUUGUUUUCAUGCGUAAGCAGACACAGUACAACGAACAAAUCAGAGUGGCUGUGUUCAAAUAAAACUUUAUUUACUUAUUUUGGAAAGGAAAAUUGGCCCUGAGCUAACGUCUGUGCCCAUUCUCCUCCACUUUGUACGUGGCAUGCUGCCACAGCAUGGCUUGACGAGCAGUGUGUAGGUCUGCACCCAGGAUCCAAACCCAUGAACUCAGGGCCAUCAAAGCAGAGCCCGCAAACUUAAUCACUACACCACCGGGCCAGUUCCUAAAUAAAACUUUAUGAUGGACACUGAAUUUUUAAUUUCAUGUAAUUUUCAUGAGCCACAAAAUAUUUUUCUUCUUUUGACUUUUUUCAACCACUUAAAAAUGUAAAAACCUACUUACCUUGAAGUACACACAAAAAAAGGCAGUGGGCUGGACUUGGCUUCCAGACAGAAAUUUGCAGACUCCUGGUUUGGAGGAGCAAGCAUUGUACUAAAGGUCAAGAGUUCUUUCACAACUAUUCACUGUGUGACCUACCCGACUUCUCCAAAAUCAUUUAAUUUUCCUGAGCCUCAGUUUCCUCUUCAACAAAUGAAGUAAUUGAGUAAAUUAAUCCCUAAGUUUCUUUUCAGCUUUAUUGUUUUAUGAUUUAUGAGUAGAACUCACUCAUUAGCUUUCUAAUUUCUAAGUUGAGGUUAGCAAUGAAGAUAGUCCCAAAUUUCUUCAAAGACUUUUAUAAUCAUUGAUAUUGCUUCAUAAGUAAGUUAGUCUUUGACGCUUAACCACGUUAAAAUGUUUUAAAAAUCACAUAUAUUUAUAAAAGGUACUUUAGACUUAGUGCUUUCUUUUUGACUUCUCCACAGCAUAAGGACUGAUUCACCAAGGAACUAAGAGUAGGUGGGGAGAGAAUCACUUGCUCAUUAGGACUUAUACUUAAGAGCACAGUGGAGGUGGUACUCAAAUCAGUCAAUUUAGCUACUUGUUAGUACCAGUUUUUAAAGGCUUAAUGAAGGAGGAAGGCAAAAUGUUUAGCUAAGGGAAGGUUGGGUAAUUGUCCAUAGAGCCUAUAUUUUCAUGCCCUACUCUUAUGCCUUACGCCUGUGCACCCUGAAGUAUUGUCUGCCCCUCCUGACAGACAUUUAUAGUUCUACAGGAGAAACAGCAUACGCAGAUUCUCCUCAGGUAUGCCUCUGCUUGACCCCUCUUAGCUCUUGAAAUUACAGGCUAUAAUGAUUAGAAGCCUUUAUAGGAUAACUGCCUGACAAAGUGUAUGGGAAGCGCUUGCUGGGGUGAAAACAAACGUUUAUUUAUAAUGUUAAUGUGCAAUCAUUUGAUUGUUGUGGAGGUAGUGUUAAUUAUGCUUCCUUACCUGCAUAAUGCACAUUCUGUGUAGGAGCUGAGAAAUGAAGAUAGGGAGAAGGGUGAAAAACAAUUUGUGUCUUCUACAUGGAGUUCACUGUAGCAGCCACCAUUUUUUUCCUUGGCAUGGUCUAACCAGCUUGUCACGCCUCUGCCAAGAUGGCAAUAUCGCAGACAGCAUGUUUUCAGUGCAUUAACAAACACCCUAAAGGUUGUCAGGAGGGAGCAACCUGCAAAUAAUUGGAGAUAUUAUGUAUUAGUAAAGGAAUUGUUCUUCAGUUUUCCAAGAUGUCCAUCAGAAAGACAACAAUUGCAAGGAUAAAGGGAAGUAAAGUGACUGAGAAGGUUUUAGCACCUAAGGGGUUGAAUUCAAAGGAAGAAGCUUCUGACAACGGUUCUGGCAUCCUGGUGACCAGCCCAAGGUGGUGCCUGACAGCUGAUGUAAAAAAUGAAAAAGAGAGGAAAUCUGAGCGCUGGAGAACGGAAGUGACUCAGCUGUGUUGCUGCAGAGCCAGCAGUAAAAGCCACCUGUUCUGGUGCAGCCUCUAAGGAGAGGCUAACUGGGCUAGAAUGGUGGUCAGAAGAGAUGAGUUUGAGUCAUAGCUCUGACAGUCACAUGAUCUGUGAUCUUAGGCUCUCUGGAAUUCCAAGUCUUCAUUUUAAAAAUAAGGAUCAUACCUGCUGGACAGAGUUUUUUCAAAGACUGAAUGAAGAACACAGACUAGCUGCACAGUGCCAAGCAAAUGUUGUUGCUGUUCUGAAUUUUUCUCCACUCUCAAUUUCAGGAAGAAAAAGAACAGUGAAGUUGGAGCAUAGUGAGAAAGGAAAAGAGCUUUAGAAGAGAAGAUCCAGCAGUUAAGUGUGGUCCAGAUCCCUUAGGACCCUGAAGCCCAUAGAUGCUGCCACAGCAUGGCUUGACAAGUCGUGUGUAGGUCUGCACCUGAGAUCAGAACCCGAGAACCCCAGGCUGCUGAAGCAGAGUGCAUGAACUUAACCACUAUGCCACCAGGCUGGCCCCAAGGGAAACGCUUUAUUUUAAUGCUAAGUAUUGCUGAGAAAAUCCAGGAGGACGCUGUGUGACUCUUUAGUACACAACAUGGUGAUGUAAACUGAAUUACUCUAAAGAGGGUCAAGGAAAAUUACAAUUAUUCCAAGACUUAAAUCUUGUGAAAGGUAGUUAGAAACCAAAGAAUUAUGGUGCUGAGUAUCUAUGUAUGGAAAGAGAUUUCACAUAAAGUACUAAAUGCGUUUUUAAUGAAUGCCACCCAACCUAUUUGAUUUGUAAUUUUCUGAAAGAAUGACCUAGUACAGGCAUGUUUUAUAUAUGUCUUUGUUGAUCCAUGGACAGGACUAGCCACAGAUAAUUAAAGGUGAAAUUGUAUAUGUACCAACUGUAAAAAAAUAAAAGAAAUAAAAAUCCACAGUCUUCAAACUCACCAUUAAGACUCCUUUCAUCUCAUAGCUCACUAGCAAAUUGAAUAUAUAAAGCACCUCUCACCCAGAAAGUCAGAGAGCAAAGCACUAAAGCAAAACAAAUACCAGUGAUUAAGGAAAAUUGAAAGCAGCAGUAAAAAUAAGUUUCUUUAGUCUACUUUUAAAUACAGACUAGGAACUGCAAAUAAGUGGUAAUUUUUUCUGUCUUUAUGAUUCUAUGGUGUUGAAUGCAAAUAAGGAAACAAAACUUGUUGCUGCAAAACUCAGCAAUCCUUUUGAGAUUAUUUACUUUAAACAUUCACCUUAAUUUAUCUCGUAGUAAUUUUUAAAGUCACUCAAAUAUUUUGUCAUUUCUUAGACUGACCGAUUUUGACAUGCUUCAGACUUUUUAAGUGAUUUUAGAGAAACAGUUUAAAAUGAUCUUUCCUAACUUGAAAAGGUGUCAGUGAGGGGAGGUACUUGCAGGUCUUCAUAGCAGUAGUGGACAAUUUGAAGAGUUCAAAGAGAAGGUUUUAUUCUGUAUUUAAAAAUAUUGAGAUAAUUCACUGGGGAUUUGCGGCUCUUCAAUGGGAUAAAAUUGGACGACUUAGAAGAGUCAGGGAAACACUUGGGCUCUGAUUUCAUGGUGGAUGGCUGUUGUGAACUCUUGCUUCUUUUAGCAUAACCAUUGGCCCAUCAAAGUUCUUCAAAGAACACUCUGGCUGUCAUGAAUUUGGAGAAAGAAGGAGCAAAGGGAAAUCUUACAGUCCUCACUUUUUGUGUAUGUGAGGAAAAUUCGCCCUCAGCUAACAUCCCUUGCCAAUCCUCCUCUUUUAUUUGCUUGAAGAAGAUUAGCCCUGAGCUAACAUCUGCACCGGUCUCCCUUUACUUUGUAUGUGGGAUACCUCCACAGCAUGGCUGACUCCUGGAGUAGGUCUGCACCUGGGACGCUAACCUGUGAACCCAAGCCACUGAAGUGGCGUGCAUGCAACUUUAACCACUCGGCCCUGGGGCUGGCCCUUACAGUUCUUAUUUUUUAUCUAUAAUUUUUUUCAACAACGCUGUUAAAUGAAAGGCAGUUUAAUAAAGGCAGAUCAUUGGUUUUGGUGAAUAGACAGCAAGAUUAAGGUAAUAGUUAUAUUUUUAAUUAAGAAAUUUGGGGCAUGCCUGUCUUUCUCUCCCUUUUGCUUUUUUUUUUUUUUCUUUGCUGGUAAAGUUUCACCUUAAGCUAACAUCUGUUGCCAAUCUUCCUCUUUUUUUCUUUUUCCUCCACAAAGCCCCAGUGCAUGGUUGUGUAUCCCAGUUUUAAGUCCUUCUAGUUCUUCUAUGUGAACCGCCACCACAGCAUGGCACUAGGCUAUCAGGGCUGGCGCUCUCUCACUCUUUUAACUUGCUGUCAUUCCCUGUCUCUUUUUUCCCUUUCUUUUGUCAACAUCCCAAUUUUAAUAGUGUUUAUGUCAUUUUCUCAUUUCCUGAGUGUAAGAUCUUUGAACCAGUGCGUGUUUACUGAUGAAAAUAAGUCCUUACUCACACACCUGCCAAGUUUAAAAGCAACCAAACAGGGCUUAAGGAAAAGCAGGAGGCGACAGAAGCAGUAAGAAAUUUGUCUUUCUUCUUUUUUUCCUCAAUAUUCUUUGGUAUCCAUAGUUCUAUUUUGGAGAGGAAUUCUGAGUGUAUUUCCUGAAGGCUUACAAUUUUAGCAAAGGUGAAGAAGGAGGUGCCUGCUGUUAUUAGAGUGAGCGGGUAGCAUUUGUUAAACUUCGCUACACCCCACGCAAAUAGAAUUUUGGCAGGUCUAGUGAUUUUUUUAAAGUUAUUUACAGGCUAUUCCUCAGUAUGCAACUCAGAGGAUAUUUUGAGUAUUAAUGUGUAUUAAUAAGAUUAUCCCAUGAGCUGCUUUGCUUUCGUUGGCUGAAAUGCACCUUAUAAAUUAUGAUUUCGCUAUUGCUGAAUAACAUAGAUUCAUAUUUUGUUUCUCUUCUCAAGGAUUAGGUAGAAUUUUUCAUUCAGGCAGAUUUCUAAAUGGGUAAGAAAUUGCUAUGAAUCAUGAAAAGUUUCCAAAGCAGGCUGGCACCCAGGGGGUGCACUCAAACAAUGUUUAGUUCCAUUUCUUUUAAAAGCUCUUUCUAGAUCACUUUGGAAUGCUCUCAUGUCUCUGGAAUUGUUUCGCCAGUUAUGCUCCCAAGUAAUUCUCAUCUAGGAGGUUGAGGAUGGGGCCUAGGAAACGUUUUUAAACAAAGCCCUCAUGUGAUUCUUAAAAUUAGGCAACACUGUCUGAGAGCAGUGGUUCUCAAACCUGAAUACUUAGGCAGCUUUUAAAAAAAUCUGGAUCUCUGGGACCCACCUCAAACUGAUAUACUCGGAACCUCUGAAGGCAGGGCCCAGGCACCAGUAUUUUGGAAGAGGCCUCUGUCGGCUUUCAUGUACAUCUAGGAUGAGAAUCACUGCUUUCAUACAACGCUGAAGUGAAUGUUAAAACAGCUUCUGGAAAAAUGCUGUGGGAUAAUAAGUUUUUACCUCUAGUGUUUCCCUAAGUUACAAGAUGCUAAAUACGAGUAAGUAAGUAUUAAAAUCAAAACUUUUUCAUAUAAAACAGAUAUUAUGUAGGGUCAAUUUGAGUACCAGAUAUUCAAAAUUUCUGGGAUGCAAUAAGUCAGACUCUAGAAUUUUUCAAAAACUUUAGCUAUAUCCUAUUUGGUCCUUUAAAUCAUGCAUAAUUCACUCUGGUAACUGGUUAGCAACAGACUAUGAUAUGCAGAUGGGAUGCAAAUUAUCAGGUAAAGGAAGUAGAGAAAUGUGAAAGCAAGAUUUGAGGUUAAUUGUGGUAGAAUUUAAAAUUAUGCUUAUGAAAAGACUUAAUUAUCCACCUUUCUUUUUGCUUCCAGAAAAGAUUCUGCACAGGUGUAUUUGCCUAGAUGAUCUCCAGUGUGGUGACUCUUAAUUGUACACCUCAGAUUUUGGAAAAUGCUGAAAGAGCCAGGUUCUGAUCUGGAUAAUUACAUAAAGAUGUUGGCAGAUUACUAUGCCUCUUGAUUUUAGGGAGUUUAGCUUUAUUCUUUCAAUGAGGUACAUAGUUGAGGAAGAUCCAGUACCAGAUGGCAAUGUUGGCUAGGAGUGGUUUUCUCACCUACAUUUGGCAGCUCUACUCGGAAGCAGUGCUUUCAAUGCCUGAGACUUCCAGUCUAUACUACUUAACAGGAUCAUUGGGAAGCUUUAGGUGGUAUAGAUGCAAUGACACAUCUCAUUAAAGGUCCUGUAACUAUGAACAUCUGACAUCUGUGCUGAAAAUAGAACUGGAGGCAGCUUUCAAGUGGUUAUAGAUUCAAGUAGUAUGUUGUUUUUUAAAGACAUGACUGCAAUUUGUUAUAUUAACCAGGCUUAUAAUUUCUAGAGGCAUUUUUGACUUGGAGACAUAGAUUAUAAGUUAACGGCUGCCCAUUUUAAAGAUGACCUCCUCCUAAAUGGGUUCCCUCUUUCCCAGAAUUAAGACAAUGAUUUUAGCUGAUGACAUUUGUCAUUUAAUAAUAGCAGUAGCGAACAUGGUUUGAAAAGCUAUAAUGUGCUGGAAUUCUUUAUAUAUAAGCUAUACAACAGCCGUGCAAGCUGGCUGAGGGUCCUGGGGCUCUGAGAGGUUAAGGAACAUGCUGAAGAUCAUAAAACUCCUAAGGAUCUACCAGCUAUCUGGCUGCCCAGCAGGAUGUCUGUCCAUCUUGCAGCCAACCCCUGCAGUAUGUACAGGAAUAGAGUUAGCAUUCAUUUCUACAAGUUGCAACAAGCGCUUGUUCAUAAAAGUUUUCCUUUAGUUUUGUUUUUAAACUUAAAAAACCCACAAAAAACGGAAACAGCCAGGUUCAGCCUUCAAGAACUUGCCAUCUAAAUAGUCCUUUAUCACAUUAAAGAAUAAUGCUCUGAUUCUUUAUACAGAUUUCUAGGUGCUUUCAUUUUAGCUUUUAAAAAUAGUGCAUGAUUUUUUUUAUCAGAGAUUUUAAUGACGUUAGGAAAUAAUAAGUAACCAAAUCAAAACGUGUUCAUCCCACAUUUAGCCUGGCUCCUCACAGCUGCAGAAAUUCAUUUUCACCCCAUUACCCCACCCCCUUCCCAAAGUCCUAAAGCACAAAUCCAUUGGGAGUCCUCUCCGUUUCCCAAAAGAAAUAUUUCAUUCAUAUAAUGUCUCCUUUGUAAUCAACACUGAGAAAUGUCACUUUGAUUAAACACAACUCUGAAUGACUAAGACCACAGUACAAUAAAUUCUCCAGAGCUAUCUUUCAGAGCAACUGAUUGCUCUCCAGUCUUAAUCCUCCAGAGUCUUAUUUAAUCAAAAUGAUGUUGCUAAUUAAGGAUUAAAACCUCCGAAUAGAAUAAAAAAGAAGGAUUUUUCUUUCUCCUUUGGGCAGGUCAAGGAGGCAGAAUUUGUUAUAAGGAAGUAAAAAGUCCCUUCCACCUUUGGUAAAAUUGCAUUAUUCUCUGACGUUGGACUUAAUCCAAAAUAGGCUUGAGUCUUUUGUAAUAUUAAUAUAAUUGAAGAAAGAGAAAGAGAGAGGAAUAAAGGAGAAAAGAAAGUAAAGGAAGUAAGGAAGGAAGAAAGAGAGACAGAGAGAGAGGGAGACAGAAAGAAAGGAAGGAAGGAACGAAGAAAAGAAGGAAGAGAGAGAGAGAAAGAAAGUAAGAAAAAAAGAAGGAAAGAAAUGAACGAACACCCUGCCCUGGAUAGCUACAUAUACCUAGAUAACAUUUAUUCUAAAAUUUUUUCAAUUAAUACUUUUAAUAUGAAUUUUCUUCAACAUUUUGUCUGAUGCUGUCUGUGCAUUGCUUUUAUCUGUUACUAACAUUGAUGGAAAGACAGUACUUUAGAAAAAUGUUGGCAACCCAUUUCACAGAAAAGAGGAAACAGAAGACAACGUAUGUCAGAUCUAUUUGACAUCCACUAAUGAAUACCAAUAACAAAAACAAAAUUCUCUAUUAAAUGCUAAAAUUCUCUACUUUAAGAACAAUAUUUCAAUUUUUCUCUUGAAUUUGUAGUCGAUAAUAAAAAUUGGUUCCUUAAAAACACAUAAAACUGCACAAGAACUCACUGAGAGAGACAAAGAUUCUCAAAAGUGAUUUUUAUGGAAUACAAACUCUUUUAGGUGUUGGGGUGAAGUGAAUGCAAAACAGAGGUGCUGGUUGAUGUUUUAACAAAGGGCAAAACAUUUCUUCCAUCCUUUUCAUCUUCUCUCUGCACUGGCCUGUGAAUUUCUAACCCCUGCCAAAUUAGUCAAUUACGAUGUAAUAAGUAAUAACAACAGCUAGCAGGUAUUGAUCACCUAUUAUGUACCAGAUUCUCUGCCAGUGAUCUGCACAUUAUUACCUCUAAUAAAACCCAAGAAGAGGUAUUAUUAUAAACCCUUUAGAAAUGAUUAAACUGAAGCUUAUAGAGAAUAAACAACUUGACCAAGGUCAGGCAUCUUGUGCUAAGUAGAGGUGAGAAUUCCAUUCAGCCCUCUUCAUCUCCAAAGCCACGUUCUAUUCAAUAUGACAAACCACUUCAGACUUGUUUACUUAGAGGUCAAAUUUCUCAAUGAGUUUCUAGAAGGUUCUGGUAAACUGUGUUGGUCUGUAUCUGACUCAUAUGCUCCGACGAUUUCUGACUGAAUCAUUGCCGCAGGCACCAUCACAUUGUCAAUUACCCAGCCCAACCAAUGACAAAGACUGAACUACUACCAUCAAAAUGGGACUGGAGAGCAAACAAUGAGAAAUCCCAAAAGGGAGAGGAAUGUCCUAAACCUCGUUUUCUCUCCUAACCAGCGUUACUUACCAAUUAAAAAAAGACAUUCAUUUCUGUGAUCCAUACUCCUGAAGGCUGUAAGCAUCCAGUGGACAAAUGAUGCCUCUUAUUCCUCCCAUGGUGAGGCAGAUGGCCAACAGUGGUACAUAAAACAGCCUGUUCCACUCGUUUUUUGGUAUGUUGUUAACCGUAUGGUAAAUACCCACAUAGAAAUCUUCCAAGGGGAAAGCAACCACAGAUAGCAAAGCAGUGCCUGUAAAUAGAGAAAAAGUGAGAAUAAAUAUGGCACAGACCAACUGAAUCACCAAAUCACAUCGUAAAUAAGGUUUUCUCUCUGUAAGUAGCAUCAUUAUAUGAUUGUCUUAUUAAAAUACUUGUUAAUCAUUGCAAUUCAGGAGAUAGCAUGAUUUUUCUAAACGUGAAAAUUUCCUCCAAUAUGCGCUUUAACUAAUCCAGAGUCCUAGUCACCCCCCAAGCUUGAACUAUCUUUACUCUCAGAAUGUAUACACAAAUCAUGUCCAUUUUAACAAAAUUAGUGCUAUGCAAAAAUACAUCAUGUAAGAAGCUAAAAAUUCCUGUAAUCCCACCCCCAGAGAAAACCACUGCUAACAAGGGUUAUUUGUUCUUAAUCAAGAGAGUGAUAGAAAGCUCGAUGAUCUCAGACACCUUAGAAGCCUGUUAAAUAAAGUGUUUUAAGGAGAACAUCAUUGUAGUUGGAGGAGAACAUAGACUCUCUUUUCCUUUUCUAAUUCUCUUUCUCCUUUUAAUGCCCUUCUUAUUUCUCUCACUUCUCAUGCAGCUCGGUGGAACUUUCUUUGUCCCACACAGAGGUGAGAAGGCUGAGGAGAAGGAUGUGAGGGUGAAUGACGCAGUACAAGUGGAAAAGAGGGGAGGACAGAAAGUGAUAACAGAGGGUUGAGUAUUCUUCUCACUUUCAUCUUGCAGAGACCAUACUGGAAGAUUUUUCUUGUCUAAUAGAAAUUAUAAUUCAAUUCCAUACUUUUGCUAAGCUGUUUAUGUUCUGCAAAACAUUUUGCAUACCAUAUUGUUUCAUCUUGGAAAAACUUUGCGAUGUCAGGGUAUAGAUUUUCUUUUUUUUGAAAAUAUUUAUUUUAUUGCAUCAUUUUACUGACUAGAACAUCAAAUUUAUAGUGGAUAUAAGUAUAAAAAUAACUGAAUUCUUACAAAUAAAACUUUGCUGCUACAGUACUGAAUAAUUAGUGGAGGUUGCAAUUAUAAUACAACUUUAAGUAAUAUUCUCAUAAUGGAUUUAAUACAAUCAAUCAGGGACUAAGGUUUAAAGGUUGCAAAGAGAAAUUCAGGAAAGCAUGAAAACUCAAAGUGUUAAUAUUCCAGCUACAUGCUCCGUUUAACCGUAAAACCAGCAACAUAAACAUGAAUAAAACUCAUGUCAACCCAUGAUGAAGCAUCUUUUUUUAAAGAAAGAGGCCAAGGUUCAAUGAGGUUAAGUGACUUGCCUAAUAUUAUAGAAUAACCCAGAUGUAAUCUCCUUCUUCUUGGAAUUCCUGUCGUCAAGUGGUCAAAUCAUUAAUUUUUUUUUUUGUCGGUUUGAUUAGUGAAAAAUAGCCUCUCCAUGUUAGUAGUGUCUUCCAUUUUCUUCAUGUGGCAUUCAUAUUGUUUUGUAUAAAUUUUUUAUAUGGUUGCUUUAUGUGGUUAGUUUUCUAAAUCAGACUAUAAGCUCCUUCAAGACAAAAGUUUGGCCUAAUGUUUCUGUCUCCCUUACAGUGGGUUUCACAAUGUGAAAAAUAUAUGCACACAAUAGUUAUUUGAUAACAGGUUGGUUUACCAUGAGUGUAGGCCCUUUAAAUGAUUGAGUUUGAAAUGUUUCCUAUCAAGGUUAGCCAGAUGUGCAACUAACUGCUCUCUCUCUGUCACUCAGUCUUUGUCUUGGAAGCGUGACAUGAGGCCUGGCUUAUCCAAAGAGGAUGGACAGAGAAACUGCUUCUUGCAGCAACCAUUUAUUUAGAGACAAAGCACUUUUAGUGGUACCUUUGUGUCCGUUAAAAAGGCACUUUGUUUCUAUCUUUUAAGAAAAUGUCAUAAUAUACUGAUGUCAUUAGAUCAAAACUUUAUUUCUAUCAGCUGUCAAAUUGAUGUAGUAAGAAUACAAAUCAAUGACAUUUAUGAUAAAAAGUUUUCUCUUUGAUCCGUGGUAUUGUGCUCCACAUAAUGAGCAUACCUGUACGUGUAGCUCUGUAUAAAGCACCAAGAUGUGUCAAGAGUAGUGGGGUCCACUGGCUCUUUUCUCCAGAAGCUAAUGAGUCCAUCAGGGAAGGCAGACAUGCAGGUAGACAACUACAUUGUAGUGGAAUAAAUGCAGUCAUAGAGGGAUGAUCAGAGUGUGACUGAGCACAGAGAAGCAAGCAACAAACGCUAUAUGGGUGUGGAAGGAAGGGCAGAAGUUUUCACUUUUUGGAUACAGAGUGGAAAGAUAAAGGAAGGUGACAAUUUCAGGCCUAGAAAAGAGGACUUGUAAGAUUAAAGAAGGAGGAAAGCAGGCAAGGAGAAGUUCAGCAUGGUUGAGUUCAUCUAUUGAGACUGAAGUCUGGAGAGGUAAAUUUGGGACAGAUUGUAAAGGUUUGUAUGUCCUAAGCUGGAUUCUAUGUCUUAGAUAAUAAAGUCAAUAUAUAGGUUUGUUUUUUCCUGAAGUCAAUGUUAUUGAUAGACAGGUGUAUGGACUGGAGUCACUGAUAACUGAUGGUCCAGUCAGUAGGCCAUGGUAACGGUCAAGAAAAAGAAAGCUGCGUUUUUGAGCUAAGGUUGUAGCAAUUCAGACAGAAGAUAUAUUUUUGAUAGAACCUCUGAUAUUUAUUCAUCAGCUGGAAUUUGAUGGCAGCCUUGAGUAGGGGACACAAGAAAAUAACUUUUAGUAAGAAGAUGAAUAGACAGGGAACUGACUGAGGUCUUUAUUUGCCAAAUUCCAAAGGUGGACCUUUAGUCCGAAUCUGAUGACUUACACAGGAAUUUAGACUGAUAGGAAUUACCACUUUACCAACCCCUACUGAUAUGGCCUGUUACCAAGGUAAGAAUGGCAGAUCAUUCAAGCCCUUGCUUAAAUGCCUACUUAUCAGAAAACAAUCCCCCCUACAGAACAGCAACCUUGUCACUGUCCAGUGCAUCUCAUCCCCUUGACCAGCUUUAUUUUUCAUCAUAACACUCGUUAACAUAUGGCAUAUCUAUUUACUUGUUUCUUUUCUCUCUCUCUGCACCAGAAAGUCAACUUCAGCAGAGAAGAGACUGCUUUCUUCUCUGUUACCUUCCGAAAUCCUGGAACAAUGCCCGGCACAUAGGACUGGAUAAAGAAUAUUCAUUGCCAUGCAGUGACUUAAGUUUUAUUUCAAAUUAUUCUAAUUUUUGGAACUAAAGCAGGGAAGAGGUUUAUAAGUUUGAAUCACCCUCUAAUCCAUCCUGUGAAUGGCAAGUUAUCACGUGCCUGGAAUUGUGUGAUAUGUUGAAUACCUGAUAUCCAUCCCUUCCUCAUUCAUCUCUUCCCCCAUCCCCUAAACCUGCAUCUGUGCUGUACUUCUCAGUAUUAGUGAACAGCACACCACCUUCCUAAGUUCCUCAGCUCAGAAACUCGGAGUUAAUUUUUGUUCCUCUAUCAUAUUUGUGCCUUUAUUUAGUUUCCGAGUUUUUUUGGUUUUUCCCAUGUUCUCUCCUGGAUUGACAUGUCUCCGUUGUCUAGGCCAUCAUCCUGAGAGUUCUGGUCUCUGUCUAUUUAACUUCUCAUUGUGGUUGCCCAUCCUGUUUACUGAAGAAAAGCACUUCCCAAAUGUUUUCUUUGUAUCUUCAGUGCCUCCUUGUUGUCUAGAGAACAACUUGAACUUCUCAGCCUAAAAUUCUAGAUUGUUCAUCAAAUAUCAAACAAUCUUGAUAUUUCCUCAACAUUUGUAGCAAUCAAUUCACUCCCAAGCUUUUGUGAAUAUAUUUAUUUUUCUAUAUAAAGAAGCACACUGUAGGAUUUGAAUUAAUUCAUUUUUUUUAGAAUAACUGUAGUUCAUAAUAUAGAAAUCAUGUCUUCAUAUGCAAUCUUAAUUACUAUUUGACUAAUUAAAAGACCACCUUUUGAUGAGAACAUUCCUCAAUUAUUCCACAUGAACUUUAAAAACCUUUUUAGCACAUUUCGUCUUAGUUGUGAAGCAAAUGAACUUCAUGUUUCACAUAGAAUUUGUCACAAAUUUAGACUUGGAGUAGGAAGGGGGAAAAGGAGAGUUUUCUAAGGAGUACAGAAGACAGACACAUAAAGAGGUAAUUAUUAUGAAAUAUAAUCAGUGCAAUGAUAUAGGUAUUAAAGCUUCCUCACAAACACACGCACGAACAUUUACUAGCAUCUCUCAAAUAAUACAGAGAAUGAAAUAAAUUGAAACAACAUUCUCACUUCAUUUAUCACAUUUUAUGCUAAGAGUAAGUUAGGAAUAACAUGAACUAAAACUUCCAACAAAAAUCUAUCCAAUUAGGUUGCAAAACAACAGUCAGAAGAGGACACUCACGUGGAAAAUGUAGAAAUAAACAAAUAUAUACCAGUUUAUUUCUUCCUAGACAGACAUCAGCAAGCCAUCUCGCAAACACAGGGGUAAGUAUUGAAAUUCCAGUAAAACACAAGUUCAAAAUGGCUGCCUGGGAGUUGCCAUAGCCAAGCUUGACGGCGCAAAAAGGGAUCAUAUUGCAGACAACUUCAAAGAAAAUGAACCUCUCACACAGCUCCACCAGAAGCAAACAGAUUCCAACCUGAAUUUUUUCGCAGAGUCUGAUGAAGAGAAACAGCCAACAUGUCUUAUAGUUUUCUCCUUCUUAAAGCUGUGAUUUAAGGGUAUUUUCUCAUCAGUUAUUUUAAAAUCUGUAACAGACUUGACUACCUUUCUUGAAUACAGCUUAUGUUAGUGAUUUGAACUUGGUGAUUUUUACCUCCCCCCUCUACUGAAAAAUAAAUAAUAACUUUGCUUUGAAUUUCACACCUCCAUGCUAAAGUUUCGUAAGGGUUUUUGCACAUUAAUGCUG
rnacentral:lncRNA from 1 species